AGAAGGCCUGCAAUUUUCUGUGCUUCUGGCAAUGGUAGAAAGGAGAAGUAGAUAAGGAAAGAUCCCCCUCCAGAUGAUGAAUGCUACCCGAGCUCAUAUCGGUGAAGGGAACCUGUGCUAUUCGGUCGAAUGCAACCGCCCUUGCAAGACGUGGCUUGUCAGCGCUACUCAUCGAAGUGUAAACCCAUCUCUGAAGACCUGGCAGGCAGAAGUACUCUCCCCACCCCAACCCCACCCACGGACUUUGCAGCAUCAGUCCAUUUGUACACUCGGAUCUCUAAGGAAAACAGCAUCAUCGACGUGAAUGACAGCUGCAGCGGGAGCCGGGGAGCGGGCGGUCAGAUGCUCCGCCGGGGCUGUCCACUCCGCGGGCACUGAAAACGUCAGGGAAGGUCUCUCUUGGAGCCAACGCGGACUUGACAAAACAGUUGACAAUUAGGGCAAAGCACGUACGGCAGAAUCAUUAGAACCCACAGAAGCCCCGGCCCCAGCGGCGACACCGCGGCGUGGCGAUGCCCCCGUGGCUUCGGAAAUACCCGCUAUCCCUUUAAAAAGUACCCCCCGCAGGCCGGAAGUGACCGCUCGGCGCCACGAGUCGAGCCCCUCGGUGCAGCACGGCCUCGAGCCUCGCGCACGUCCGCGGUCCCGUGGGUUUCCUGCUCUUGCUGCAGUUCUCCGCCGCCAGUCCUCUCCGCGCGGGCAGUUCGGUCACUAAAUCUCAGAGACCCGGCGCCUCCCCCAAGCUCCAGCCUACGCCAGGCCUGCUUCCGGGUUCGGCCUGCGCUCCCGGCCCGCUCUAGUGACGCACUUCCGGUGGUGACCAGGCUUGGCUCCGCCCCAAGCUGACACGCGGGCUGAUCGGGUUCCCAGCCGUGCACUGUGCUGGGAGGACAGCGAAUUCCUGCACCGGGGACCAACUGCUCCGCCACGGCUCGGUCUCUGGGGUUUCUUACCGUCCUGGGCGGAAAUGGAUAGAAUCCGCCAGACCACACGACCCGGGGCCUAACUCUCCAGCCCUGUGACCGCGGCCGUCUGUGUCAAGCUCUCCCUUGGCUCUGCCCAGGGCCCUUGUCGCUUGGCGCUGGGACCUUCAGAAGUUGAAAGGGUUUGCCAGAGGCAUCUCA
rnacentral:lncRNA from 1 species